UACGGGGGGGGCAAGCGUUGUUCGGAAUUACUGGGCGUAAAGGGCUCGUAGGCGGCCAACUAAGUCAGACGUGAAAUCCCCAGGCUCAACCUGGGAACUGCGUCUGAUACUGGAUGGCUUGAAUCCGGGAGAGGGAUGCAGAAUUCCAGGUGUAGCGGUGAAAUGCGUAGAUAUCUGGAGGAAUACCGGUGGCGAGGGCGGCAUCCUGGACCGGCAUUGACGCUGAGGAGCGAAAGCCAGGGGAGCAAACGGG
rnacentral:rRNA from 1 species